rnacentral:rRNA from 1 species
GAUUAACGCUGGCGGCGUGCCUAAUGCAUGCAAGUCGAACGGGGCGUCAUCCGACGUACCCGUGGCGGACGGGUGAGGAGCACGUGGGGAACCUGCCCAGCGGUGGGGGGUAGCCCGCGGAAACGCGGGGUAAUUCCGCAUACGCGGCGCUGACGGCAGGUCAGCGCCGGAAAGGGACGUUUCGACGUCGCGCCGCUGGAGGGGCCUGCGGCCGAUUAGCUGGUUGGUGGGGUAACGGCCUACCAAGGCGGUGAUCGGUAGCUGGUCUGAGAGGACGGCCAGCCACAGGGGGACUGAGACACGGCCCCCACUCCUACGGGAGGCAGCAGCAAGGAGUUUUCCGCAAUGGGCGCAAGCCUGACGGAGCAACGCCGCGUGGGGGAUGACGCCCUUCGGGGUGUAAACCCCUUUUCUUGGGGACGAAGCAGUGACGGUACCCGAGGAAGAAGGCCCGGCUAACUACGUGCCAGCAGCCGCGGUAACAC